GCUCGAUCUCCUUGGAGACUAUGUAGUGGAGAGUGAACGAAAUAGGACUUCAGAACGUGAUCAUGGCGGCGCCGUUUGGGCGCGACACCUUACCUGAGCAAUGGUCUUUCGGUGUCUGCGGAGAUGGCAGAGUGUUUUUCGUUCACGAUGAAACGAGCACCACUACUUGGCUCCAUCCGCGAACGGGCGAACCUGUCAAUUCCGGACAUAUGAUACGGUCAGAUUUACCUCGAGGAUGGGAAGAGGGUUUCACGAACGAAGGGGCCGGCUACUUCAUAAACCAUAACCAGAGGACCACGUCGUUCCGGCACCCCGUGACGGGACAGGUGUCUCGGGAGAACGUGGAUUUUAUCCUCCAAGAACAGCCAGGUGGCCGUAUGUCCAACCCCCAGCAGGCCGACUUGAGGCUUUCCAGCACCAUCAGCGAGGCUUCCACUGUGGACACCGCUUCGGGGUCAAAGGGCUCCAGGUCCAGUGGGAGGGUGCUACAUUUUGGGAAGCGAGAGCAGUCCAUCAAGAGGAACCCCAACGUCCCAGUGGUGGUGAGAGGAUGGCUCUACAAACAGGACAGCUCUGGGAUGAGGCUUUGGAAGAGGAAGUGGUUUGUGUUGGCUGACUACUGCCUGUUCUACUACAAAGACAGUAGGGAAGAGUCAGUCCUGGGUAGUAUUCCUCUGCCCAGCUAUGUCAUCUCAGCCGUGGAACCUGAAGACCACAUCAUCCGCAAGUACGCCUUCAAGGCCAGCCACACAGGCAUGCGCUCAUAUAUUUACAACCGGAGCUCUGUGAUUGGCUCGCAGGCGGAGCACAGCGGCAUGCGGACCUAUUUCUUCAGCGCCGACACACAAGAAGACAUGAACGGCUGGGUGAAGGCCAUGAACCAGGCGGCGCUGAUGCAGAACCACACCGCCAGCCUCAAGAGACCUUCGGAAACAUCGGAGAUAUCGGAAAUGCCCAGCGUGUCAGAGCGCCAGGCAGUACCACAAACCAACCACGUCAACAACUACACUGAGACCGCCCCCCAUCCCCCAGUCGACCUCCAUCUCCAUAGCGAUGGAGUGGUCCUCCAACCGGCUGACAUCCACCGAGAAACCGAGCAGCACUGUAGCUUCUGGAACGACACUCCCAAUCCCAUUGCUUCAGAAAUUGUCCUUGGUGGUGGGAACAUGGAAAUUGAAAUGGACGCCAUCCCUCCUAGCAGUCUCUCUCCCCUUCCACCAUACUCAGCCUCCUCAACUACAUCUGCGCCCUCCUCCAGGGCGCAAAUGCGCGCCCCGUCGUACACCACCUCAACCCCACCCUCCGGGGCCUGUCUGAGGAACGGGACACCCACCCUGGAGCCCAACGGGAUGGGGACGGGGACGUACCAGAGGGCCACCCUGCCCCCCCAGGUGAUGGAUACUCACAGGCAGGUGCAGAGGAGGAGUGCCCUGGAGCAGGUGGAACACUGGGUCAAGGUGCAGAGGGUCGAGCACAAAGGUACCCCCUCUAGAGGGAGUACCCUGCCCCGCCACACCCCUCCGACCCAGCCCACGUUCAUCGGCCUGGAGGCCUACCAGACACUACCAAAGACCCCACGCCACAGCCCCCCCACGGCUGCACGCCACGGGGAGUACAAAUACGCCCAGGACCGCCUUAGCCACUUCCGCCUCGGACCCCCGAACUCCCAGGGUACCGUUGCCAGGGACGGGGGUGGCAUCGGUGGGCCUGGCACCGUAUGGCAGCUGUAUGAGUGGCAGCAGCGCCACCAGUUCCGCCACGGCAGCCCCACCGCCCCCCUCUACACACCUUCCCCGGACUACCCCUUCGGGCACCGGCCCCCCUCCACGGUCCCCCCCCCAGCCCCACGGCCCAGCUCCGAGGUGCCCCGCUGUGUGUCGGUACCCCCUGAUCCCUCUGACAUCCCCCCACUGGGACCCCCACGGGGCUCCAGGGCCCUGUCCCCCCCACGGAGGCCCCAUAUGCCUGCUGACCGGGUGGUAGUAAUGCCCCUGGGAGAGAGGCCCGCGCUGGAUGUGCCUGUGGCUGGCUCCCCCCGGAGAGCCAAGUCUCAGCUGCUCAACGCUGCCACCAUCGACAGACGAUCCAUCCCUCCCUCCUGCUACAUCACACACACAGUCAGCGCGCCCAGCCUUCACGGGAAGACGGUUGACGAUACUUACAUGCAACUGAAGAAGGACCUGGAGUAUCUAGACUUGAAGGUGGUUGGAAAUCAGUCGUUGAAAGAAGCGACGAAACCUGUCAAAAUAGCUGAGAGUGACAUUGAUGUGAAACUCAGUGGGUUAUGUGAGCAGGACAAGAACCUGAAGGAACUGGAGGUCCAGAUCAGCUCUCUGAAGAACAAUAAGGACAAGCUGGAGUCAGUUCUGGACCUGUCCCGCCAACAGAUGGAGCAGUACAGAGACCGGCCGGCCCACCUGGAAAAGAUAGCCUACCAGCAGAGACUCCUACAGGAGGACGUGGUGCACAUCAGGGCCCAGAUCUCCAGAGUGUCCACGGAGAUGUCCCGGGCCUGGGAGGAGUACAGCAGGCUAGAGAGCUCAGUGGAACAGCUGAGGACCGCGUUACAGACCACCAUGAACUACACCACCACCUCUCAGCGGGAGAAAUCUGAGAUAAAGCGGGAGCUGUGGAGAAUGGAAGACGUGAUGGCAGGGCUGAGCGCCAGCAAAGCCAACUACAAGAUCACCAUCAACUCAGUGCAGAACCCAGAGAGGAAACUAGUGCCUUCGGUGUUGGACCCUGCAGUGCCUUCCCAGUGCCCUACACCCCCACUAGGGGAGGUUAGGCCCCCUCCUCUCAGCUCCUACAUACUGCCUCACAACCCUGUGCCAAAGUGGGCAGAAGAUGAGGCUCCUCCCAGGCCACCCCUGCCCCGCCUUUACGACUAUGAAGACCCGCCCCCCACCAUCCCACCCCUCCCCAAAGAGGCAGCAGCGGUCGUAAGACACACGUCGGUUCGAGGGCUCAAACGCCAGUCAGACGAGCGGAAGAGAGACCGUGAGGUCGGAGGGUGUGUCAACGGAGACUGUAAGGUGGAGCUGCGGUCGUACCUCAGUGAACCAGAGCUGCCGGGGAUGGUCCGGAGCAGCAUAGGGUCUGAGGGGGGCUACCAGACCCUCCCAAACAAAGGUCUGUCAGGCUCAUCGUCGCAGCUGAACCAAUCCAGUAAUAUCUCCUCCUACGUGACCCUAAGGAGAGGAGUGGCUGGCUCAGCAGGGAGGCACUACCCAUCUCAUAUCUCUUUCACUAUGUUUCUCUCUCUCUCUCACUCACUAUCUCCCUCUCUUACGAUCUGUCCCAGGAGAGACCUAAGAGUGCCUUGGAGCAGCUGUACUCUUCCGACCAGCAGCCCCAGUCUCUGGCCCAGGCCCCACGGAGCCGCAUGAGUGCUGAGGAGCAGCUGGAGCGUAUGAAGAGACACCAGAGGGCCCUGGUCCGCGAGCGCAAGAGGAACCUCAGCCAGGGAGAACGUCACUCCACCACCCAUCGUUCCUCAUCCACUACCAGGCCUCUCUCCUCCACUGACCUGGGCUCAUGGAGGCGAGAGCAGCAGGACUUUGAUUUGCAGCAGGAGCAGAAAGCUCAGGUGGUGGAGCGACUGGGUGCCGAGGGCCAGAGCGACGAGGGGCGUAGAGAGCUGAAGGAAAGGGAGAGGAUCCAAUCAGAUGAGUGGCUCACGGUGAUGGCCACGCCCAUGAGGGGAACUGACAUGGAGCCCCUCGACUACAACCUGAACCUCAGUCGUGAGCUGUCCAAGCCCCAGAAGGUGCCUAUCUCAGAGCGCUAUGUGGAGUCAGACCCCGGGGAGCCUCUGAGCCAGGAGCAGAUGGAGGAGCGUCAACGCAGAGCAGAACGCAUCAUAAACAUCCUGGCCAAAUCUAAGUACUCUUGACUUAGUUUCAUAAAAAUCUAUUUAUUUUAGAACUUUUUAUUACAAAAAUUAAUUCAGUCGCAAAUUUAGAGUGAUCUGGCAGAUUCUUGAUAAGAAAUAGUAGUUGUUGUUUGUGAAAAUCUAGGUACUUCUUAUUGGGAGAAGAAAACAUAUCACAAGUAUCGUAAUGUCCCUAAUCCUGGGUCUCUGGGUCCACUGGAUCCACUGUUGGGUUGUGGCUGAUUCAAUCCCAGUUGUGACUUCAAACUUAAGCUAACUACAAAAACUUUAGAUCAUAACACAAAAAAGUGAUCGCAAACAUUGUGUACGUCCCAAAUGGCACCCUAUUCCCUACAUAGUGCACUACUUUUGACCAGUGCCUAUUCCCUACAUAGUGCACUACUUUUGACCAGAGCCUAUUCCCUACAUAGUGCAUUACUUUUGACCAGAGCCUAUUCCCUACAUAGUGCAUUACUUUUGACCAGAGCCUAUUCCCUACGCAGUGCAUUACUUUUGACCAGAGCCUAUUCCCUACGUAGUGCAUUACUUUUGACCAGAGCCUAUUCCCUACGCAGUGCAUUACUUUUGACCAGAGCCUAUUCCCUACGCAGUGCAUUACUUUUGACCAGAGCCUAUUUCCUACGUAGUGCAUUACUUUUGACCAGAGCCUAUUCCCUACGUAGUGCAUUACUUUUGACCAGAGCCUAUUCCCUACGUAGUGCAUUACUUUUGACCAGAGCCUAUUCCCUACAUAGUGCACUACUUUUGACCAGAGCCUAUUCCCUACGUAGUGCAUUACUUUUGACCAGAGCCUAUUCCCUACGCAGUGCAUUACUUUUGACCAGAGCCUAUUCCCUACGUAGUGCAUUACUUUUGACCAGGGACGAAUUGGUAGGGGAGAAGGUUCCAUUUGGGACACAGACUGUACUUUCUUUGGGUUUCGGCCUCUUUUUCCUCAUGUUCGUAUUCCCUUCCCACCUGUGUGUCAGUGUUCAGAACACACAUCCGUCGUCUGGUGUGGCUGUCCCACUGGACUUUACUGAUCUGGACCUAGCCAUGCAGCAGCAGAAGAGGAUUAUGAAUGUGUCUCACGCCUUGGCCUCUGAAGCCUCCAUCAAGAGCAAGCAGUUCACAGCCAAAGCUCAGCUGAGCACUGACUGACCAUUGACACAGACGCCAAGACACCGACAGGACAUCC